UACAGAGGUGGCAAGCGUUGUUCGGAAUUACUGGGCGUAAAGGGCGCGUAGGCGGCCUUGUAAGUCCCGUGUGAAAUCCCUCGGCUCAACUGAGGAACUGCACGGGAAACUGCUUGGCUUGAGUUCGGGAGAGGGAAGCGGAAUUCCGGGUGUAGCGGUGAAAUGCGUAGAUAUCGGAAGGAACAUCAGUGGCGAAAGCGACUUCCUGGACCAAUACUGACGCUCAUGUGCGAAAGCGUGGGGAGCAAACAGG
rnacentral:rRNA from 1 species